rnacentral:rRNA from 1 species
UACAGAGACUGCAAGCGUUAUUCGGAUUCACUGGGCGUAAAGGGUGCGCAGGCGGCCGAGUGUGUGAGGCGUGAAAGCCCGGGGCUUAACCCCGGAAUUGCACCUCAAACUACACGGCUAGAGCAUUGGAGAGGGUAGCAGAAUUCAUGGUGUAGCAGUGAAAUGCGUAGAUAUCAUGAGGAAUACCAGAGGCGAAGGCGGCUACCUGGACAAUUGCUGACGCUCAGGCACGAAAGCGUGGGGAGCAAACAGGG